rnacentral:rRNA from 1 species
AUUGAACGCUGGCGGCAGGCCUAACACAUGCAAGUCGAGCGGAUGAAGGGAGCUUGCUCCUGGAUUCAGCGGCGGACGGGUGAGUAAUGCCUAGGAAUCUGCCUGGUAGUGGGGGAUAACGUCCGGAAACGGGCGCUAAUACCGCAUACGUCCUGCGGGAGAAAGUGGGGGAUCUUCGGACCUCACGCUAUCAGAUGAGCCUAGGUCGGAUUAGCUAGUUGGUGGGGUAAAGGCCUACCAAGGCGACGAUCCGUAACUGGUCUGAGAGGAUGAUCAGUCACACUGGAACUUAGACACGGUCCAGACUCCUACGGGAGGCAGCAGUGGGGAAUAUUGGACAAUGGGCGAAAGCCUGAUCCAGCCAUGCCGCGUGUGUGAAGAAGGUCUUCGGAUUGUAAAGCACUUUAAGUUGGGAGGAAGGGCAGUAAGUUAAUACCUUGCUGUUUUGACGUUACCAACAGAAUAAGCACCGGCUAACCUCGUG